UACGUAGGGGGCGAGCGUUGUCCGGAAUUACUGGGCGUAAAGGGCGCGCAGGCGGCCGUGUAAGUCCGCUGUGAAAGACCGGGGCUCAACCCCGGGGUGUCAGCGGGGACUGCACGGCUGGAGUCCCGGAGGGGGAGGCGGAAUACCUGGUGUAGCGGUGGAAUGCGUAGAGAUCAGGUGGAACACCGAUGGCGAAGGCAGCCUCCUGGACGGGUACUGACGCUGAGGCGCGAAAGCGUGGGGAGCGAACGGG
rnacentral:rRNA from 1 species